rnacentral:misc_RNA from 1 species
GGAAGUAGAAGUCGUAACAAGGUCUCCGUAGGUGAACCUGCGGAGGGAUCAUUACAGAGUUCAUGCCCUACCGGGUAGAUCACCCACCCUAUGUUAUUAUUACUUUGUUGCUUUGGCGGGCCGUUAGGCUCCGGCCCGACUACCGGCCCCGGCUGGUAAGCGCCCGCCAGAGGACCCAAAACCCUGAAUAUUAGUGUCGUCUGAGUACUAUAUAAUAGUUAAAACUUUCAACAACGGAUCUCUUGGUUCUG